rnacentral:lncRNA from 1 species
ACAGCACAAAUAAUCAAACAAUUCAUUUAUCAUAAUACACCAAUUUCAUCCAAAUGCACAAUUAUAUAUAAGUAUAAUUAUAGUGAUCGUAACAUAAUAUAUAUGAUAAAAUACUUAUAAUAUAUUGUAAAUAUGUAAAUAAAAAUAUAAUGUUUAUAAAUAAAUGUUAUGCAAAUGCAGUGUUGAUAUGCAUUAUUUAUUAUUACUCACAGUGAUGGAGAACUAGGC